UGCUUAUCGAGAGCGAUGGAGGGAACUGGCCCUGUGAAAUCCGGCAACCUGCCUUAAGGCGUGGUGCCAAAUCCAGCGGUUAUGGCCGGGAGAUGAGAA
rnacentral:ncRNA from 2 species